rnacentral:siRNA from 1 species
AUAUGUCGCAUCUGAAAGUGCUU